AGACUCGGCCUCUUGGCUCAGAUCAAAGUGAAUUUUCUGUUCUUAUCAGCUUGAUCUCUGAUACUCAGUCUCUGAUACUUCUAGAACCUUCUUCUCUGAUCAGUACUUGAGUAGGUCUUUCAUGGAAGUCUCCGGUAGUACAAAAACACUGAAAUUCCUGUUGGACGGCUU
rnacentral:snRNA from 1 species